GAUGAACGCUGGCGGCGUGCUUAAUACAUGCAAGUCGAGCGGAAAGAUAAGGAGCUUGCUGGUUUGACGUUAGGGGAGGACGGGUGAAUAACACGUGGGUAACCUACCUGUAAGUGUGGUAAAACCAGGGGAAACGGGGGCAAAUGCGGGAUGAGAUUUAGAAGCGUAUGGUUGUAAAGUGAAAGAUGGUGGUGCUAUAACGAAUAGAUGGACAUGCGCCGUAUUAGCUGGUAGGUAAGGUAACGGGUUAUCAAGGCGAGGAUGCGUAUCAGGACGGAUAGGGUGGUCGGCCACACUGGAACUGUGACACGCUCCAGAGUCCUACGGGAGGCAGCAGUACGGAAUCUGCCGCAAGGGGCGAAAACCUGACCGAGAAGCGCCGCGUGCUGGUGGAAGGUCUUCGGAUCGUAAAUCUCUGUUAUUAGGUUGUAACAAAUUUUUAAGUGUCUGUACGCGUCUGUACGGUACCUAGUUAGAAAGGCACGGCUAACUACGUG
rnacentral:rRNA from 1 species